GACGAACGCUGGCGGCGUGCUUAACACAUGCAGGUCGAACGGAAAGGCCCUGCUUUUGUGGGGUGCUCGAGUGGCGAACGGGUGAGUAACACGUGAGUAACCUGCCCUUGACUUUGGGAUAACUUCAGGAAACUGGGGCUAAUACCGGAUAGGAGCUCCUGCUGCAUGGUGGGGGUUGGAAAGUUUCGGCGGUUGGGGAUGGACUCGCGGCUUAUCAGCUUGUUGGUGGGGUAGUGGCUUACCAAGGCUUUGACGGGUAGCCGGCCUGAGAGGGUGACCGGCCACAUUGGGACUGAGAUACGGCCCAGACUCCUACGGGAGGCAGCAGUGGGGAAUAUUGCACAAUGGGCGGAAGCCUGAUGCAGCAACGCCGCGUGCGGGAUGACGGCCUUCGGGUUGUAAACCGCUUUCGCCUGUGACGAAGCGUGAGUGACGGUAAUGGGUAAGGAAGCACCGGCUAACUACGUG
rnacentral:rRNA from 1 species